UACGUCGGGUCCGAGCGUUGUCCGGAGUUACUGGGCGUAAAGCGCGCGCAGGCGGCGGUGCUGGCCCGGCGUGAAAGCCCCCGGCUCAACCGGGGAGAGUCGUCGGGGACCGCACCGCUUGAGGGCGGUAGGGGCUGGUGGAAUGCCUGGUGUAGUGGUGAAAUGCGUAGAUAUCGGGAGGAACACCAGUGGCGAAGGCGACUACCUGGCCUGUUCUUGACGCUGAGGCGCGAAAGCUAGGGGAGCAAACGGG
rnacentral:rRNA from 1 species